rnacentral:misc_RNA from 1 species
GAUGAAGAACGCAGCGAAAUGCGAUAAUUAAUGUGAAUUGCAGAAUUUAGUGAAUCAUCGAAUCUUUGAACGCACAUUGCACCUCUCGGUAUUCCGGGAGGUAUGCCUGUUCGAGCGUCAUUUGUACCCUCAAGCUCUGCUUGGUGUUGGGUGUUUGUUCCGCCUUUGUGUGUGAACUCGCCUUAAAACAAUUGGCAGCCGGCGUACUUGUUUCGGAGCGCAGCACAUUUUGCGAUCCAGAUCAACGUACAGCGGCAUCCAAGAAGCCUUAUUUAACGCUCUUGACCUCGGAUCAGGUAGGGAUACCCGCUGAACUUAAGCAUAUCAAUAAGCGGAGGA